GAUGAAGAACGCAGCGAAAUGCGAUACUUGGUGUGAAUUGCAGAAUCCCGUGAACCAUCGAGUCUUUGAACGCAAGUUGCGCCCGAAGCCAUUAGGCCGAGGGCACGCCUGCCUGGGCGUCACACGUCGUUGCCCCCCCAUCUACUCCUUCGGGAUUGCGGGGGGCGGAUGAUGGCCUCCCGUGCGCCUCGCCGCGCGGUUGGCAUAAAUGCCAAGUCCUCGGCGACGCACGCCACGACAAUCGGUGGUUGCGAAACCUCGGUUGCCCGUCGUGUGCGGUCGUCGCGCAUCGAGGGCUCGAAAAAAUUGCCGGGUUCCGGUUCGGCUUUCAACGCGACCCCAGGUCAGGCGGGGUUACCCGCUGAAUUUAAGCAUAUCAAUAAGCGGAGGA
rnacentral:misc_RNA from 1 species